UACGUAGGGUGCGAGCGUUGUCCGGAAUUAUUGGGCGUAAAGGGCUCGUAGGCGGUUUGUCGCGUCGGGAGUGAAAACACCGGGCUUAACUCGGUGCUUGCUUUCGAUACGGGCAGACUAGAGGUAUGCAGGGGAGAACGGAAUUCCUGGUGUAGCGGUGAAAUGCGAAGAUAUCAGGAGGAACACCGGUGGCGAAGGCGGUUCUCUGGGCAUGACCUGACGCUGAGGAGCGAAAGUGUGGGGAGCGAACAGG
rnacentral:rRNA from 1 species